rnacentral:lncRNA from 1 species
UUCCUCUUGACUUUUGUGAGAUCAUUGAAGAAAUAUUCAAGAGCUUUAAUUGCAAACAUUCAAGCACUCAACAAUCAAGCUUCAUUGACUUCUAAUUUGCUUAUCAAAAGAGCUGUUUAUAUUUAAUUUUAUGCUUACUGAAUUUUCUAUAACUAGUUUUAUUUGAGAUUGAAACUAGAGGGAUAGGCUCAUCCAAGCCUUGAACUGGAUUUGUACAAGUCUAGAAUUGACUUGGGGUUA